UGGGGAAUAUUGCACAAUGGGCGCAAGCCUGAUGCAGCAACGCCGCGUGCGGGAUGACGGCCUUCGGGUUGUAAACCGCUUUCAGUUCCGACGAAGCGCAAGUGACGGUAGGAACAGAAGAAGGACCGGCCAACUACGUGCCAGCAGCCGCGGUGAUACGUAGGGUCCGAGCGUUGUCCGGAAUUAUUGGGCGUAAAGGGCUUGUAGGCGGUUUGUCACGUCGGAAGUGAAAACUCAGGGCUUAACCCUGAGCCUGCUUCCGAUACGGGCAAACUAGAGGAAUGCAGGGGAGAAUGGAAUUCCUGGUGGAGCGGUGGAAUGCGCAGAUAUCAGGAGGAACACCGGUGGCGAAGGCGGUUCUCUGGGCAUUUCCUGACGCUGAGAAGCGAAAGCGUGGGGAGCAAACAG
rnacentral:rRNA from 1 species